rnacentral:rRNA from 1 species
UGGACGAAGUCUGACGGAGCACGCCGCGUGAGUGAUGAAGGUUUUCGGAUCGUAAAGCUCUGUUGUUAGGGAAGAACAAGUGCAAGAGUAACUGCUUGCACCUUGACGGUACCUAACCAGAAAGCCACGGCUAACUACGUGCCAGCAGCCGCGGUAAUACGUAGGUGGCAAGCGUUGUCCGGAAUUAUUGGGCGUAAAGGGCUCGCAGGCGGUUUCUUAAGUCUGAUGUGAAAGCCCCCGGCUCAACCGGGGAGGGUCAUUGGAAACUGGGAAACUUGAGUGCAGAAGAGGAGAGUGGAAUUCCACGUGUAGCGGUGAAAUGCGUAGAGAUGUGGAGGAACACCAGUGGCGAAGGCGACUCUCUGGUCUGUAACUGACGCUGAGGAGCGAAAGCGUGGGGAGCGAACAGGAUUAGAUACCCUGGUAGUCCACGCCGUAAACGAUGAGUGCUAAGUGUUAGGGGGUUUCCGCCCCUUAGUGCUGCAGCUAACGCAUUAAGCACUCCGCCUGGGGAGUACGGUCGCAAGACUGAAACUCAAAGGAAUUGACGGGGGCCCGCACAAGCGGUGGAGCAUGUGGUUUAAUUCGAAGCAACGCGAAGAACCUUACCAGGUCUUGACAUCCUCUGACAACCCUAGAGAUAGGGCUUUCCCUUCGGGGACAGAGUGACAGGUGGUGCAUGGUUGUCGUCAGCUCGUGUCGUGAGAUGUUGGGUUAAGUCCCGCAACGAGCGCAACCCUUGAUCUUAGUUGCCAGCAUUCAGUUGGGCACUCUAAGGUGACUGCCGGUGACAAACCGGAGGAAGGGUGGGGGAUGACGUCAAAUCAUCAUGCCCCUUA